rnacentral:rRNA from 1 species
GACGAACGCUGGCGGCGUGCCUAAUACAUGCAAGUCGAGCGAAGUUUUUCUGGUGCUUGCACUAGAAAAACUUAGCGGCGAACGGGUGAGUAACACGUAAAGAACCUGCCUCAUAGACUGGGACAACUAUUGGAAACGAUAGCUAAUACCGGAUAACAGUAUUUCUCGCAUGAGAGAUAUUUAAAAGUUGGUUAUGCUAACACUAUGAGAUGGCUUUGCGGUGCAUUAGCUAGUUGGUGGGGUAAAGGCCCACCAAGGCGACGAUGCAUGGCCGACCUGAGAGGGUGAUCGGCCACACUGGGACUGAGACACGGCCCAGACUCCUACGGGAGGCAGCAGUAGGGAAUCUUCCGCAAUGGGCGAAAGCCUGACGGAGCAACGCCGCGUGAGUGAAGAAGGAUUUCGGUUCGUAAAGCUCUGUUGUUGGGGAAGAAUGGAUAUGUAGUAACUAUACAUGUAAGAGACGGUACCUAACCAGAAAGCCACGGCUAACUACGUG